UGGGAGGUCGUCUAAUGGUCGGACAAUUCCCUUUGGAGGAAUUUAUCGGGGUUCGACUCCCUGCCUCCCAG
rnacentral:tRNA from 2 species